rnacentral:rRNA from 1 species
UUUUGGACAAUGGGCGCAAGCCUGAUCCAGCCAUUCCGCGUGAGUGAAGAAGGCCUUCGGAUUGUAAAGCUCUUUCGCAAGGGAAGAAAACUUACUUUCUAAUAAAGAGUGAGGUUGACGGUACCUUGAUAAGAAGCACCGGCUAACUACGUGCCAGCAGCCGCGGUAAUACGUAGGGUGCGAGCGUUAAUCGGAAUUACUGGGCGUAAAGCGUGCGCAGGCGGCUUUGUAAGUCAGAUGUGAAAUCCCCGAGCUCAACUUGGGAACUGCGUUUGAAACUACAAGGCUAGAAUAUGUCAGAGGGGGGUAGAAUUCCACGUGUAGCAGUGAAAUGCGUAGAGAUGUGGAGGAAUACCAAUGGCGAAGGCGAGCCCCCUGGGUUUAUAUUGACGCUCAUGCACGAGG